AGAGUUUGAUCAUGGCUCAGAACGAACGCUGGCGGCAGGCCUAACACAUGCAAGUCGAGCGAGAAAGGGAGCUUCGGCUCCUGAGUACAGCGGCGAACGGGUGCGUAACACGUGGGUGAUCUGUCCUUGAGAUGGGGAUAACCCAGCGAAAGUUGGGCUAAUACCGGAUAAGACCACAGGAGGAAACUCCAGGGGUUAAAGGGUGCUCUCUUCGGGGAGCAUUCUCUUGAGGAGGAGCCCGCGGCCUAUCAGCUUGUUGGUAGGGUAACGCCUACCAAGGCAAAGACGGGUAGCUGGUCUGAGAGGAUGACCAGCCACACGGGGACUGAGACACGGCCCCGACUCCUACGGGAGGCAGCAGUGGGGAAUAUUGGGCAAUGGGGGAAACCCUGACCCAGCGACGCCGCGUGGGUGAUGAAGGCCUUCGGGUCGUAAAGCCCUGUCGGGAGGAACGAAUGAUCUCGUGGUGAAUAGCCGCGAGAUGUGACGGUACCUCCGAAGGAAGCACCGGCCAACUCCGUGCCAGCAGCCGCGGUAAGACGGAGGGUGCAAGCGUUGCUCGGAAUCACUGGGCGUAAAGGGUGCGUAGGCGGUCUCUCAAGUCUGGCGUGAAAGCCCAGGGCUCAGCCCUGGAAGUGCGCUAGAAACUGAGAGGCUUGAGUGCCGGAGGGGAGAGUGGAAUUCCCGGUGUAGCGGUGAAAUGCGUAGAUAUCGGGAGGAAUACCGGUGGCGAAAGCGACUCUCUGGACGGCAACUGACGCUGAGGCACGAAAGCGUGGGGAGCAAACAGGAUUAGAUACCCUAGUAGUCC
rnacentral:rRNA from 1 species